UACGGGGGGGGCAAGCGUUGUUCGGAAUUACUGGGCGUAAAGGGCGCGUAGGCGGCCUGCUAAGUCGGAUGUGAAAUCCCUCGGCUCAACCGAGGAACUGCAUCCGAUACUGGCGGGCUUGAAUCCGGGAGAGGGAUGUGGAAUUCCAGGUGUAGCGGUGAAAUGCGUAGAUAUCUGGAGGAACACCAGUGGCGAAAGCGGCUUCCUGGUCCAGCACCGACAUUCAGGCACGAAAGCGUGGGGAGCAAACAGG
rnacentral:rRNA from 1 species